GAUGGAUUCUUCUGUGUUUGCUACAGCUCUUCUAUGGACUCCUGCAUUUUUUUUGCAGCCCAAAUAGGUGUUACAUGUAUAUAGAGGGUUUGUAGGUCUGAUGUAAGAUCUAGGUGGGACCAGUGUGAUAAUUGUUUUUACAUAACUGAGCAUCCCAAAUAACUCAAUACCAGAUUGAUACACAUCGUUUUUUGUUUUUUUCAGUUUUUAACUAAAUUUUCCCAUAUGUUAUAAUUUUAAUCAAGCCAUUAAAUGCUACGUUUUGUUCAAGUCCAAUUUUUGGUAUUAGUGGAUUUAGAACUGAUCAGUGGCGUAACUACCGGGGGAGCAGGCGGUGCAGUUGCACCACGGCCCGCUCCCCUCGGGGCCCGCCCAGAAUUUUCCGCCUCCACUGACUUUUUUUUAGUUUUUUUUUUACAAUGUUUUUUUGGCUGGGUGGGCGGGCUUGCGGGCUCCCUCCAUCCCUCAUCCAAUCCACUUUGCACCACCACCCCCCUAGCCGUUGAAGUGGUGAGGGAAAGGAGAUCGGAAGCUUCUUGAAGCUGGGCCUGCAGGGUACAGUGCAGCACAACCUUAAACCCGCGCUGGAACAGCUACGGGCAGAGAACGAGAAGCUGAAAAACUGCAUCUUGCACCUACAGCGGAGGCGGAGCCUGAGGGAGGAGCCGGAGAGGGCCAGGCCCGGGCAGGGCGGAAGGGAGUGCGGGGCGGGCUCUAGUACUGAGCGUGAAGGAACAACACAAGCAGCAGAACCGUGAAGGGAAAGAGAAGCGUUAGGUGACUAUAGGGGAGUGGAAUCUCCUGACGAGAAACAUACCUUCAUCUAUGUGCCUGGACUGGUUGAUUUACCUAAAACCGCAAAUACUGAAAUAAUAGCCGAAGCGGUUAAGGCUGGGGAAAAGAUACCUCAAAGCGAUGAAAAAGAAAAUAAUCCCAGUCCUGUGAAUAUUGAAGUGUCACAUGAGCAGAUUACUGAGCCGCAGGUCACUGAGCCAAAGGAGGGGCUUCAAGAAAAUGACGCAGUUGACACCAAAAAAGAAAAGAAAAAGAAACGUCGACUUUUCUCUUUUUCAAAGAAAAAAGUUAAAGAAGCCGAUGAAAAGCAAAAGAAUGCAGAGGAAGAAAAAAAUCCCAUUCCUGAUAUAAAAGACAAUGAGGCUGAAAUAGAUCUAGAGAAAGGAAAAGUAGAAGAAGUUGAAGAAAAGAAGAAAAAUGAUGGCGAUUUUUUGCUUUUUUAAACAAAAAGAAGAAAACGGAACAGAAAAGUUAGAGGUCUAAAGGAUACGGCACAUGGCAAUUUGUAUUCAUCAUAUCUUUCCAAGUUUGUAAUAAUGUGAACAUGAAAUAAAAAUAACAUUUAUAAAAAAAA